GAAUAGGGAUAGGGAUAUGCCCUUAUCCCCCCUUUAUACCCAAACGCUAAUUUUUUAUCCGAGAAUAGUAGUUCUCGCUUAUACCCACCAACACCUCCAUUUUCUAUAUAAAACUUCCUAAUAUUUUUCUUAUCCUCGGGAACAACCCAAUUUUCAUCCAAACGCUAUUUUUCUUAUCCCCAUACUUGUACCUAUCCCUGUAAUAGCUAGUUCUUGCUUAUACCUGUUGUACAUAUAUAAAAAGAAAAAUAAAAUAAAUUAAAAU
rnacentral:lncRNA from 1 species